rnacentral:rRNA from 1 species
CAGCAGCCACGGUAAUACGUAGGGUGCGAGCGUUGUCCGGAAUUAUUGGGCGUAAAGAGCUUGUAGGUGGUUUGUCGCGUCUGCUGUGAAAAUCCGAGGCUCAACCUCGGACUUGCAGUGGGUACGGGCAGACUAGAGUGUGGUAGGGGAGACUGGAAUUCCUGGUGUAGCGGUGGAAUGCGCAGAUAUCAGGAGGAACACCGAUGGCGAAGGCAGGUCUCUGGGCCAUUACUGACACUGAGAAGCGAAAGCAUGGGGAGCGAACAGGAUUAGAUACCCCCGUAGUCCCUGUCUCUUAUAA